GCUGGCGGCAGGCCUAACACAUGCAAGUCGAGCGCAGUCCUUCGGGACCGAGCGGCGGACGGGUUAGUAACGCGUGGGAACAUACCCUUUUCUACGGAAUAGCCUCGGGAAACUGAGAGUAAUACCGUAUAAGCCCUUCGGGGGAAAGAUUUAUCGGGAAAGGAUUGGCCCGCGUUAGAUUAGAUAGUUGGUGGGGUAAUGGCCUACCAAGUCUACGAUCUAUAGCUGGUUUUAGAGGAUGAUCAGCAACACUGGGACUGAGACACGGCCCAGACUCCUACGGGAGGCAGCAGUGGGGAAUCUUAGACAAUGGGCGCAAGCCUGAUCUAGCCAUGCCGCGUGUGUGAUGAAGGUCUUAGGAUCGUAAAGCACUUUCGCCAGGGAUGAUAAUGACAGUACCUGGUAAAGAAACCCCGGCUAACUCCGUGCCAGCAGCCGCGGUAAUACGGAGGGGGUUAGCGUUGUUCGGAAUUACUGGGCGUAAAGCGUACGUAGGCGGAUCAGAAAGUAGGGGGUGAAAUCCCAGGGCUCAACCCUGGAACUGCCUCCUAAACUCCUGGUCUUGAGUUCGAGAGAGGUGAGUGGAAUUCCAAGUGUAGAGGUGAAAUUCGUAGAUAUUUGGAGGAACACCAGUGGCGAAGGCGGCUCACUGGCUCGAUACUGACGCUGAGGUACGAAAGUGUGGGGAGCAAACAGGAUUAGAUACCCUGGUAGUCCACACCGUAAACGAUGAAUGCCAGUCGUCGGGCAGUAUACUGUUCGGUGACACACCUAACGGAUUAAGCAUCC
rnacentral:rRNA from 1 species